GUUGUGGGCUUUUCAUGUUGCAAACAGGCCUCCGGAACGGAUCCUGUUCAUAACCAGAGGUACCGCUGUAUGUGCUUGGUUCCCACCCCACCUCCUACUCAAAAUCUCUGCAUAAGGAGUUGCCAGCAUCUUCUCUGGAAGUUCCCAGCUGUGGGCCUAUCCCUGCGAGCCUUGCAGAGUUUUCAAAGGGAUUCCAAUCUACGCUUUCAAGUUGGAAGAAAAUUGCUUUCACACUUUAUAAAACUAAUCAAAAAAUUCCUUCUGCUACCCAUCUAGUUUUGAUUUGUAUUGGUUUGCCCAAUGAAGUAAUAAUAACAAUAAAUUACUCUUCAAACGA